rnacentral:rRNA from 1 species
CCGUAACUAUAACGGUCCUAAGGUAGCGAAAUUCCUUGUCGGGUAAGUUCCGACCUGCACGAAUGGCGUAAUGAUGGCCAGGCUGUCUCCACCCGAGACUCAGUGAAAUUGAACUCGCUGUGAAGAUGCAGUGUACCCGCGGCAAGACGGAAAGACCCCGUGAACCUUUACUAUAGCUUGACACUGAACAUUGAGCCUUGAUGUGUAGGAUAGGUGGGAGGCUUUGAAGCGUGGACGCCAGUCUGCGUGGAGCCAACCUUGAAAUACCACCCUUUAAUGGCUGGUGUUCUAACGUAGACCCGUAAUCCGGGUUGCGGACAGUGUCUGGUGGGUAGUUUGACUGGGGCGGUCUCCUCCCAAAGAGUAACGGAGGAGCACGAAGGUUGGCUAAUCCUGGUCGGACAUCAGGAGGUUAGUGCAAUGGCAUAAGCCAGCUUGACUGCGAGCGUGACGGCGCGAGCAGGUGCGAAAGCAGGUCAUAGUGAUCCGGUGGUUCUGAAUGGAAGGGCCAUCGCUCAACGGAUAAAAGGUACUCCGGGGAUAACAGGCUGAUACCGCCCAAGAGUUCAUAUCGACGGCGGUGUUUGGCACCUCGAUGUCGGCUCAUCACAUCCUGGGGCUGAAGUAGGUCCCAAGGGUAUGGCUGUUCGCCAUUUAAAGUGGUACGCGAGCUGGGUUUAGAACGUCGUGAGACAGUUCGGUCCCUAUCUGCCGUGGGCGCUGGAGAAUUGAGGGGGGCUGCUCCUAGUACGAGAGGACCGGAGUGGACGCAUCACUGGUGUUCGGGUUGUCAUGCCAAUGGCACUGCCCGGUAGCUAAAUGCGGAAAAGAUAAGUGCUGAAAGCAUCUAAGCACGAAACUUGCCCCGAGAUGAGUUCUCCCUGA